rnacentral:rRNA from 1 species
UACGUAGGUCCCGAGCGUUGUCCGGAUUUAUUGGGCGUAAAGCGAGCGCAGGUGGUUUAUUAAGUCUGGUGUAAAAGGCAGUGGCUCAACCAUUGUAUGCAUUGGAAACUGGUAGACUUGAGUGCAGGAGAGGAGAGUGGAAUUCCACGUGUAGCGGUGAAAUGCGUAGAUAUAUGGAGGAACACCGGUGGCGAAAGCGGCUCACUGGCCUGUAACUGACACUGAGGCUCGAAAGCGUGGGGAGCAAACAGG